GGACUACCGGGGUAUCUAAUCCUGUUUGCUCCCCUAGCUUUCGUUCUUCAGCGUCAGUAGUGAUCCAGCUCGCCGCUUUCGCCACGGGUGUUCCUGCAGAUAUCUACGCAUUUCACCGCUACACCUGCAAUUCCACGAGCCUCUCUCACACUCAAGCACGGCAGUUUUGGAAGCCGUCUCUGGGUUGAGCCCAGAGAUUUCACUCCCAACUUGCCACACCGCCUACGAACCCUUUACACCCAGUAAUUCCGAACAACGCUGGCCCCCUACGUAUUACCGCGGCUGCUGGCAC
rnacentral:rRNA from 1 species